rnacentral:rRNA from 1 species
AUUGAACGCUGGCGGCAGGCUUAACACAUGCAAGUCGAGCGCAGGAAACUGACGGAACUCUUCGGAGGGAAGGCAGUGGAAUGAGCGGCGGACGGGUGAGUAACACGUAAGGAACCUGCCUCAAGGAUUGGGAUAACUCCGAGAAAUCGGAGCUAAUACCGGAUAGUUCAACGGACCGCACGGUCCGCUGAUGAAAGGCGCUCCGGCGUCACCUUGAGAUGGCGUUGCGGUGCAUUAGCUAGUUGGUGGGGUCACGGCGCACCAAGGCGACGAUGCAUAGCCGACCUGAGAGGGUGAUCGGCCACACUGGGACUGAGACACGGCCCAGACUCCUACGGGAGGCAGCAGUAGGGAAUCUUCCACAAUGGACGAAAGUCUGAUGGAGCAACGCCGCGUGAGUGAUGAAGGUUUUCGGAUCGUAAAACUCUGUUGUAAGGGAAGAACACCUACGAGAGGGAAUGCUCGUACCUUGACGGUACCUUACGAGAAAGCCACGGCUAACUACGUGCCAGCCGCCGCGGUAA